AACGAACGCUGGCGGCAUGCCUAACACAUGCAAGUCGAACGAGACCUUCGGGUCUUGUGGCGCACGGGUGCGUAACGCGUGGGAACCUGCCCUUAGGUUCGGAAUAACUCCCCGAAAGGGGUGCUAAUACCGGAUAAUGUCUUCGGACCAAAGAUCUAUUGCUCUUGGAUGGGCCCGCGUUGGAUUAGCUAGUUGGUAGGGUAAAAGCCUACCAAGGCGAGGAUCCAGAGCUGGUCUGGGAGGAUGAUCAGCCACACUGGGACUGAGACACGGCCCAGACUCGUACGGAAGGGAGCAGAGGGGAAUAUAGGACAAUGGGGGAAGGCCUGAUACAGCAAUGCGGGGUAAGUGAUGAAGGGCUUAGGGAUGUAAAGCUCUUUUAGCCGGGAUGAUAGUGACGGUACCGGGUGAAUAAGCACCGGCUAACUCCGUG
rnacentral:rRNA from 1 species